UGACUGUCUACUACUUGCCAGUGUCCACUGC
rnacentral:piRNA from 1 species